UUUAUUACAAUACCGAUGUGUGGCUGAAGCUCUUUCUUUCUAUCCAUAGUCUCAUGUGCUGAUGUUGCCCUCUCUCCAUAGGCCCAGUGAAAAACUAGUGUCAGGACGAACACAAAUGCUUUUCUACAGGAACAAAAAAAUGAUCAUGCUACUUUCCACAUAACAUAAUGAAAAGCUCAAUGUACUUUUGAAAAAGAAAAAUCAAACUGACGUUUGAAAAUGUGCAGCAGAAGUUCAUGUCAAACUAACGGGGCGAUUCAGCGUUUAUUCUUGAAAAUGUGGAGAAAAUUGUACAUGCUCUGUAUGUCAAAAGUUUAGCUUUAAUUUAUGUUUUGCGAAGGUCAAAAUGUUGUGUUCGAGAAAGUCAAGUGUGUUAUCUCAGCAAGUUCAAAAAUAAAUUUAAACAUGCAAGGUAAAACAUGCAAGAAAACAAAAAGAAAGGGAGAAGUUCAAUUUCUAAAGAUGACACGGUUCAACG
rnacentral:lncRNA from 1 species